rnacentral:misc_RNA from 1 species
UUUCCGUAGGUGAACCUGCGGAAGGAUCAUUAUUGUAUAACCGAGGUGCGAGGGCUGUCGCUGACCCGAAAGGUCGUGCACGCCCGAGCGCCCUCACGCACAUCCAUCUCACCCCUAUGUGCACCACCGCGUGGGUCCCCCUUUGGCUUGUUCGGAGGGGGGCUUACGUUUUCACACAAACUUUGUAUGCAGUGUAGAAUGUAUUUUUUGUUUUUGCGAUCACGCAAUCAAUACAACUUUCAACAACGGAUCUCUUGGCUCUC